rnacentral:tRNA from 1 species
AGCGCAAUGGAUAGCACGUUGAACUUCUAAUCCAGAGGUCGUGGGUUCGAAUCCAAU